GAUGAACGCUGGCGGCGUGCCUAAUACAUGCAAGUCGAGCGAACGGACGAGAAGCUUGCUUCUCUGAUGUUAGCGGCGGACGGGUGAGUAACACGUGGAUAACCUACCUAUAAGACUGGGAUAACUUCGGGAAACCGGAGCUAAUACCGGAUAAUAUUUUGAACCGCAUGGUUCAAAAGUGAAAGACGGUCUUGCUGUCACUUAUAGAUGGAUCCGCGCUGCAUUAGCUAGUUGGUAAGGUAACGGCUUACCAAGGCAACGAUGCAUAGCCGACCUGAGAGGGUGAUCGGCCACACUGGAACUGAGACACGGUCCAGACUCCUACGGGAGGCAGCAGUAGGGAAUCUUCCGCAAUGGGCGAAAGCCUGACGGAGCAACGCCGCGUGAGUGAUGAAGGUCUUCGGAUCGUAAAACUCUGUUAUUAGGGAAGAACAUAUGUGUAAGUAACUGUACACAUCUUGACGGUACCUAAUCAGAAAGCCACGGCUAACUACGUG
rnacentral:rRNA from 1 species